rnacentral:rRNA from 1 species
UACGGAGGAUCCAAGCGUUAUCCGGAUUCAUUGGGGUUAAAGGGUGCGUAGGCGGAAUGAUAAGCCAGUGGUGAAAUCCUGCAGCUUAACUGCAGAACUGCCAUUGAUACUGUCAAUCUUGAGUACAUUUGAUGUGGGCGGAAUGUGUCAUGUAGCGGUGAAAUGCUUAGAUAUGACACAGAACACCGAUUGCGAAGGCAGCUCACAAAACUGUAACUGACGCUGAGGCACGAAAGCGUGGGUAUCAAACAGG